rnacentral:misc_RNA from 1 species
GCUGUUCAUACUGCAUACGUUAACUAAUACGAUUUAAAGUCUGUAAGUGGCGUAAAUGGUUAAUGCAUAUAUAAUAGACUGCGUAAGCGACAAAAGGCGAUCGCGCGCAACGAGGAGCGAGCGGAAAAUUGCUUUCCGGAAAACCAUGCUGUAUCAGUUCAGUAGUGUAGCUACCAUGGUGUAAGAAUAUAAGGUGAACCAUUCCCGUGGAUGCGUAGUAGCCACCAAUCAGAAAUUUGCCCUAAACUUUAAAACACCAAUAUGGCGACACAUUGAAACAAAUACAAUGCCAUCGUGUUGUAUAAAGAAUUGCAAAAGUCGUACAUUUUACACCGACAAAAAAAAUAUAACAUUCUUUAGAUUUUCAAAGGAAAAAGUGAUAUUAGAGAAAUGGAUAAAUGCUUGUGGAAAGAGUGAAGACAACAUAAAAAUUAAUUCUGGAAGGAUAUGCAGUCUUCAUUUUGAAGAUAACUGUUUUGUAAUGCGAUGGACACAGCCAAAAUCUACUAAAACAUGUAUGAAACAAAUGAAACGACUCAAGGAGGGUUCUAUUCCCACAAAAAUGUUACUAUUGGAUAAAAGCAGGAAAAGAAGAAACAAAAAAGGAACAAUGUCAGAUAGUGAUCAUGUUUCUGUAAUGACAGGAAAAAUGUUAAACACCGAAACAUCUAAACAGCAAAUGAGCGAAUUAUCCACUUGUCUACAGAUUGAACAAUGUAUCCAGGAAAAUAUAUAUAGUGAAGAAGAUAAUUUUGAUAAACAGAACUCUCUUAUAUCAUUGAACGACGUGCUAAGAGAAAAUGAAAACCAAAAAAGUGGAAACUAUGAUGUAUCUGAGACGUUAUUGCAAAAGUUACGAUGUUUUGAAAAUGAAAAUAAGAAACUUUUACAAGAGAACAAACAACUCAAAAAGAAAAAUGAGCAAUUAAACACACAAGUAGAACAACUGCAGACAAGUGUUAUGCAAAAUGCUUCUAUGAUACAGAUCCAUGGGUGCAGCAUACGAUCAUCCGACGCCAGUCGAAAUACAACAUCGUUUAAAGUGGUAUAUCUUAGGGAAGCAUUCUGGACAUCUCAUUUCAUCAUAGGAAAAUACGGAAAGGGAUUCUAACUCUUCAAUGCUUAUUGAUAUGGAAGACUUACAUUCGUCGGAUAAUUAUGAUGCAAAUUCUCUACAGCUUAUGUUAGAAAAUUAAAGUAUGAUGGAAAAUGAUGUAUUAAUAGGUUCAACAUUAACAUACAUGACACAAAAUAUGAACACUAAUGAACAAAGAGAAGAAAGAGAAGAAAAUUCUAUGGAAACAGAAAGUGGAGAAGGUUUCCUUUAUAUCCAGGGAAAAUUGUAUUUAUCCUUCAGAAGAUUUUCAAGAAGCCUCUAAUAUUAUGGAAUGAGAAUUUAAAUUAUUUCAUAGCGAUACUUUUAAUAAAGAAGCAUUUAUUUUUGACAGAUUAACGGACAUUGUAUGUAACAAAACCAAUAACAAUUUUGCAAGAGAAGUUGUUGCUUGUUUAGUGCGUACUAGGACAUAUAUUCGUUUAUGCAAAAUAAAUAAAGAAAUUACA